GUGUUGUUUGAAAGGAGAGAAGGUCAGCAUGUCUCUUGAUAAGGAUGGAAGAGGUCCUCAUGGCCUUUACAACACAUAUGAUUAAGGCAUUUCUACUUACUUCAUUGCAUCUAACUACCAUUGUUA